AGCGAACGCUGGCGGCAGGCUUAACACAUGCAAGUCGAGCGGGCAUAGCAAUAUGUCAGCGGCAGACGGGUGAGUAACGCGUGGGAACGUACCUUUUGGUUCGGAACAACACAGGGAAACUUGUGCUAAUACCGGAUAAGCCCUUACGGGGAAAGAUUUAUCGCCGAAAGAUCGGCCCGCGUCUGAUUAGCUAGUUGGGGAGGUAAUGGCUCACCAAGGCGACGAUCAGUAGCUGGUCUGAGUGGAUGAUCAGCCACAUUGGGACUGAGACACGGCCCAAACUCCUACGGGAAGCAGCAGUGGGGAAUAUUGGACAACGGUCGCAAGCCUGAUCCAGCCAUGCCGCGUGAGUGAUGAAGGCCCUAGGGUUGUAAAGCUCUUUUGUGCGGGAAGAUAAUGACGGUACCGCAAGAAUAAGCCCCGGCUAACUUCGUGCCAGCCGCCGCCGUAA
rnacentral:rRNA from 1 species